CGGUGGGAGUAACGAAAUAAUUUGGAUAUAUCAACAAAGUUGAAAUGGUAAAUUGGCCACCGUAAUGAUUACAAAACUUACGAACUCGAAGUCCACAAUAUUGUGGGCAUGUUUGCACUCACCAACGACAAGAAAUGUUUGAUAUCACAUUCCACUAAAUCUUGUGAUUUCCUGUUUGAAUAUUCUCAGGUAUGCAUUCCAAAGGGAACGUGGCGAAGACCUAUCCGCACUACCAAAAAUUUUGAUUAUUUGUACAGAUUUUCCCUCAUCACUUAAACUUUACCACUCUAAGCAGGGCUUAUUUCGUGUAUGAAAAAAAAAAAAAAA